rnacentral:misc_RNA from 1 species
AAGAGUUGCAAAACUCCUUAAACCCAUUGUGAACUUACCUUUGUCGUUGCUUCGGCGGGUAGCCCCAGGGCGGGGCUUCGCCUAUUUUAUAGGUGCCCGCCGAAUGCUUUCUAAACUCUUGUUAUUUUGUUACUCUGAGUUAUUAUUUUAAAUAAGUCA